rnacentral:rRNA from 1 species
GACGAACGCUGGCGGCGUGCUUAACACAUGCAAGUCGAGCGGAAAGGCCCUUCGGGGUACUCGAGCGGCGAACGGGUGAGUAACACGUGAGUAACCUGCCCUGGACUUUGGGAUAACCCUCGGAAACGGGGGCUAAUACCGGAUAUGACCUGUCACUGCAUGGUGGUGGGUGGAAAGUUUUUCGGUCUGGGAUGGGCUCGCGGCCUAUCAGCUUGUUGGUGGGGUGAUGGCCUACCAAGGCGACGACGGGUAGCCGGCCUGAGAGGGCGACCGGCCACACUGGGACUGAGACACGGCCCAGACUCCUACGGGAGGCAGCAGUGGGGAAUAUUGCACAAUGGGCGGAANCCUGAUGCAGCGACGCCGCGUGAGGGAUGACGGCC